rnacentral:rRNA from 1 species
AUUGAACGCUGGCGGCAGGCCUAACACAUGCAAGUCGAGCGAGCGGCGGACGGGUGAGUAAUGUAUGGGGAUCUGCCUGAUGGAGGGGGAUAACUACUGGAAACGGUAGCUAAUACCGCAUACCAUCAGAUGAACCCAUAUGGGAUUAGCUAGUAGGUGGGGUAACGGCUUACCAAGGCGACGAUACCUAGCUGGUCUGAGAGGAUGACCAGCCACAGUGGGACGGAGACACGGUCCAGACUCCUACGGGAGGCAGCAGUGGGGAAUAUUGCACAAUGGGCGCAAGCCUGAUGCAGCCAUGCCGCGUGUAUGAAGAAGGCCUUUGGGUUGUAAAGUACUUUCAGCGGGGAGGCGUUACCCGCAGAAGAAGCACCGGCUAACUCCGUGCCAGCAGCCGCGGUAAUAC